UAGUCUGGUGCCAGCAGCCGCGGUAAUUCCAGCUCCAAUAGCGUAUAUUAAAGUUGUUGCAGUUAAAACGCUCGUAGUCGGAUUUCGGGGCAGGUUUGCCGGUCUGCCGAUGGGUAUGCACUGGUAGAACUGUCCUUCCUUCCGGAGACGGCGCCUACUCUUAACUGAGCGGGUGUCGGAGACGGAUCGUUUACUUUGAAAAAAUCAGAGUGUUUCAAGCAGGCAGCUCGCUUUUGCAUGGAUUAGCAUGGGAUAAUGAAAUAGGACUUUGGUGCUAUUUUGUUGGUUUCGAACACCGAAGUAAUGAUUAACAGGGACAGUCGGGGGCACUCGUAUUCCGCCGAGAGAGGUGAAAUUCUUAGACCAGCGGAAGACGAACCACUGCGAAAGCAUUUGCCAGGGAUGUUUUCACUGAUCAAGAACGAAAGUUAGGGGAUCGAAGACGAUCAGAUACCGCCGUAGUCUUAACCAUAAACCAUGCCGACUAGGGAUUGGAGGAUGUUCCUAUGUGACUCCUUCAGCACCUUUCGGGAAACUAAAGUCUUUGGGUUCCGGGGGGAGUAUGGUCGCAAGGCUGAAACUUAAAGGAAUUGACGGAAGGGCACCACCAGGAGUGGAGCCUGCGGCUUAAUUUGACUCAACACGGGGAAACUUACCAGGUCCAGACAUUGUGAGGAUUGACAGAUUGAGAGCUCUUUCUUGAUUCGAUGGGUGGUGGUGCAUGGCCGUUCUU
rnacentral:rRNA from 1 species